UAGGGAAUCUUCCGCAAUGGACGCAAGUCUGACGGAGCAACGCCGCGUGAGUGAAGAAGGAUUUCGGUUCGUAAAACUCUGUUGUUAGAGAAGAACAGCGCAUAGAGUAACUGUUAUGCGUGUGACGGUAUCUAACCAGAAAGCCACGGCUAACUACGUGCCAGCAGCCGCGGUAAUACGUAGGUGGCAAGCGUUGUCCGGAUUUAUUGGGCGUAAAGCGAGCGCAGGCGGUCAAUUAAGUCUGAUGUGAAAGCCCCCGGCUCAACCGGGGAGGGUCAUUGGAAACUGGUUGACUUGAGUGCAGAAGGGGAGGGUGGAAUUCCAUGUGUAGCGGUGAAAUGCGUAGAUAUAUGGAGGAACAACAGUGGCGAAGGCGACUCUCUGGUCUGUAACUGACGCUGAGGCUCGAAAGCGUGGGUAGCAAACAGG
rnacentral:rRNA from 1 species